rnacentral:rRNA from 1 species
AAAGCGAGCGGCGGAUGGGUGAGUAACACGUGGGGAACCUGCCCCUAAGUCUGGGAUACCAUUUGGAAACAGGUGCUAAUACCGGAUAAUAAAGCAGAUCGCAUGAUCAGCUUUUGAAAGGCGGCGUAAGCUGUCGCUAAGGGAUGGCCCCGCGGUGCAUUAGCUAGUUGGUAAGGUAACGGCUUACCAAGGCGACGAUGCAUAGCCGAGUUGAGAGACUGAUCGGCCACAUUGGGACUGAGACACGGCCCAAACUCCUACGGGAGGCAGCAGUAGGGAAUCUUCCACAAUGGUCGCAAGUCUGAUGGAGCAACGCCGCGUGAGUGAAGAAGGUUUUCGGAUCGUAAAGCUCUGUUGUUGGUGAAGAAGGAUAGAGGUAGUAACUGGCCUUUAUUUGACGGUAAUCAACCAGAAAGUCACGGCUAACUACGUGCCAGCAGCCGCGGUAAUACGUAGGUGGCAAGCGUUGUCCGGAUUUAUUGGGCGUAAAGCGAGCGCAGGCGGAAAAAUAAGUCUAAUGUGAAAGCCCUCGGCUUAACCGAGGAACUGCAUCGGAAACUGUUUUUCUUGAGUGCAGAAGAGGAGAGUGGAACUCCAUGUGUAGCGGUGGAAUGCGUAGAUAUAUGGAAGAACACCAGUGGCGAAGGCGGCUCUCUGGUCUGCAACUGACGCUGAGGCUCGAAAGCAUGGGUAGCGAAACAGGAUUAGAUACCCUGGGUAGUCCAUGCCGUAAACGAUGAUUGCUAAAGUGUUGGGAGGUUUCCGCCUCUCA